ensembl:processed_transcript F730043M19Rik RIKEN cDNA F730043M19 gene
CGCGGGGCUGGGGAGAGCGCGGAGUCGGGAAGCUGAGAGCAGAGCCUGAGUGCGCCGCUGGUUCAACCGGGCAGGGUCGCGCCUCGCGCCAGGAUGCUGCGUCCCGCUGCCCUGUCCAGCCAGCAACCCCGAGACUGGCGCGACCCCGGGAAGAAGCAAAGGUUCUUUCGUCCAGUCGCCGCUGGAGGACCGAAAGUUUUGCUCGCUGCAAGUCCCUUCCUCCCAGAGUCCCAGUCACCCACCGUGCGAUGUCCCAGAAGGAUCCCGGAGGCUCAGUGGGGACGAAAUCGGCUGUUUUGCACCCCUCCAUCCCUAUCCCUCAGGAUGCCUUCAGGAGCCAGAAGCAAAGGGGAAAUGGACAUAA